CCAAUGACAAUAGUCAAUCCUCCCCCUGUCCAGGAGAUGAAUGCUGCUCCUGACAACUGUGAAUUUGUAGCUUCCUCAGCAAAUAUCAGAUAAUGCUGCGAUGCCAAUGACAAUAGUCAAUCCUCCCCCUGUCCAGGAGAUGAAUGCUGCUCGUGACAACCGUGAAUCUGUACCUUCCUCAGCAAAUAGCACCCAACAAACCAACCUCGAGAUGCAAGCUCUAUGAAAACUAAAAAUCAAUUUACUACAUCAGAUUGCUGCUUAAAGAGUUCGCAUGUGUCUCCCAGUUAUACAGGAAAAGAUGGUCAUUGUUUUAGAGGCAUUUAGAUCUUCAAAUUCUUGUUGUGAUGAAAUUGGCCUUUUUGACGCACAGCUUCGGCCAAUAAUGUAUUUUGAACUGUAGAUGAGUAACAGUAUUUGCACUCUUUUGUUUAGAGUGUUUCAGAAAUCUUUUAAAUUUAUUUAGAGUCAAAGAUAAAAAUACCAACUUGUAAUAAAAAAAAUCUUGUAUUCUGCUUUCUAUAGUACAUUCAUUUCAUGUCCUCUUCUUUUCUAUAUCGCUGCUCUCCCU
rnacentral:lncRNA from 1 species